CACGUAGGCACCAAGCGUUGUCCGGAUUUAUUGGGCGUAAAGGGCUCGUAGGCGGUUCGGUAAGUCGGGUGUGAAAACUCUGGGCUCAACCCAGAGCCGCCACCCGAUACUGCUGUGACUCGAGUGCGGUAGGGGAGCGGGGAAUUCCUGGUGUAGCGGUGAAAUGCGCAGAUAUCAGGAAGAACACCAGUGGCGAAGGCGGCUCACUGGCCCGGUACUGACGCUCAUGUGCGAAAGCGUGGGGAGCAAACAGG
rnacentral:rRNA from 1 species